UUCGAGGGGUAGAGGGGAAGGGAAGUGGGCAGCGUGGGAGGGGAAGGGGAGGAGGCGCGGGUCUGGGGCUAGAGCGUCGGGAGGGAGAGAAAGGGGUGGCGGAGAGGAGGACACGCCGGGUCCAGGAGGACCCCAGCGUGCGCCCUUUCUCUUGCUGCUCUGUUUCCCAGUCUCUCCCCGCCUCGCCUUCCCUCUCUUCUGUCCCGGCCAGGAGCCCCAGACGCUGCGUCACAACUCCCCGCUGGCGCGGGCGGGGAAGCAACAGCAAAACUUUCCGCAAACUUCACGGCGUGGUGGGACCUGGGCUACGAGGUCCGGCCAGCCCGGGGCGGGGGCGUGCAGCUGACCCAGGUGGCCAGACCCGGGCCGCCAGCAUCCGCCCCGCCAUCCCGCCUCUUUCUGCGGGCGUCUCCAGCAGCCUAGCAUCCCCUACCUCCAUGCCGAGGAGGACCCCUCCCCCAGUCUGGUGGGGAAGGGGCGGAGCCCAGGGCCUGGCCACCAGGGCGAAGAUUGGGGGAGGGGGAGGCAGAGCCCUUGUUACGUGUGCGGAGCGCAACAAUUCUUGCACGUCUUGUUUUAGCAUUUUCGUGACCCCUGUGUCAGUGUCCCCGGUGCAGGAGUGUAGCACUUUUGCUUGUUGGGGCUGCAUCCAGAAACCUGGGGAAAAUCUGUCCACUGGACGUCCCAGAAGACCGGCAUCAUCACUCCCACCAACUGGACUGCUGGCCGGUAGCAAAAGACCAGCUGGAAAUUUCAUAAAAGGUUAGACAAUCCACAGUUACUCAGUGUUACGCAACAGGUCUCUGCAGCACAGAGCACGAACUGGGGAGUCAGGAUGCUGGAGUCCAGCCCUGCCUCUCUGCGGAUUCCCUGCCUGACCUUGGGAAAGCCUCUUGGGGUCUCGGGGCAUGGGGCAGGACUGAGACGUUGAGACCCCAAGUGCAAAGAAGACACAUUUCUCCUACCACGAGUAAUCAAAAACACUAUGAAACUGUAAUAUGGGCCGGGUGCGAUGGCUCACGCCUGUAAUCGCACUUUCGGAGGCCGAGGAGAUUGAGCCCAGGAGUUGAAGACCAGCCUGGGCAACAUAGGCAGAUCCCAUCUCAUUUUGUUCAUAUAAAAUUUUUAAAUAAUAAUAAAACUGUAAUAUAAA
rnacentral:antisense_RNA from 1 species